rnacentral:lncRNA from 1 species
GGCUCUUUUUUUUUUUUAAAUAUAUAUGUGUACACUGUAGCUCUCUUCAGACACAUCAGGUGUGUCUGAAGAUCCCAUUACAGAUGGUUGUGAGCCACCAUGUGGUUGCUGGAAUUUGAACUCAGGACCUCUGGAAGAGCACUCAGUGCUCUUAACUGCAAUCUUUCCAACCCCUGUAAUUAACAGCUUUUGUUUACCAGAUGAACUGUCAUCUUGGAGGCUUUAGUGCUGAAUAAGCUCACCAUUUCCAGUCCUGUCUGAGCACUGGCUGGUUCAACUCAGCUGUUCUGACCCAAGCUCCUCUCCAAGCUGACUGACUCAAACUGACUUCCCACUGAACUGCUCUGCUGGGCCUCAGACUAACUCUGGCAACCUGUUCUAGUCAUCUGGCUCCUUGUCAUUCUCUGGCAGAUUCUGUCUUUACCUGGUGCCUAUCUGUAAACCCGUCCCAGUAAAACUGCUCGCGCUCGCUCGCUCGCUCUCUCGCUCUCUCUCUCUGUUUCUCUCUCUCUCUCUCACUCUCGCUCUCUCUUCUUCUUCCCUUCCCUAUCUCCUUCUCCCUCUCCCUGUUCCUCCCCUCUUCUUCUCUUCCUCUCCUCUAUUCUUUCCUGUGCUGUCCUCUUGAGAGUUGGGCAUAUCCUAUCUUCAGUUCAUUCUGUCAGAUCUUUCUCUAAUCUGUCACUUUCACACAUGACUGCAUCAUUCACAACCUUCACCUUCAUUGUGCGGGGUUAAAGGUGUAUGGAUGGCAUGUCUGCAUUCUAGCCAGGUCACACAGACCUAGGUCUUUGGAGGGGAUUCCUUGCCAGAGCCGCCUGUUACUAGAGUAAAUUCCUCUACAGGAGGUGCUAGAGUAGAAAUAGAACCAGACAGCCAGAGGAACAGGGUCUGGAAAGCUCUUUCCUUUGAGAGGUUGGCCCUUUCCAUUUAGUUCAGGUUGACCACAUACUAGUUUGUAGCCAGGGAAGACCUUGCGCUGCUGACAUUCCUGCCUCCACUCCCUGGAUGCUGGAACUGUAGGUGGCUGGCCUCUUGUUCUGGUUUAAAAGGCAGCAGGAAGCACUGAAGGGUUUAUCCAUUCAUCAGACUUGUGUUCUAAGAAAAAGCUCAGAAUAUUGGGUCUAAAUAUUAGAUGUUUUUAUCCCACUUUUGUUGUUAUUAUUGGAUGUGUUCAGGUGUUUUGUCUGCGUGUGUCUGCAUCCCAUGCUUACCUGGUGACUGGAAGUGAGAAGAAGAUGUCAGCGUCUCUGAAGUGAAGGUGUUUGUGAGCGGCCACGUGGUUGCUGGAAAUCAAAUCCCACUCCUGUGGUGAGCAGCCAGUGCUCUUGUGCACCGAGCCAUUCCUCCAGCCCCCUCUGCCUGCUUUUUAAAAGAUGGCAAGGCUGUUAGGCUCAGUUCAAGAGGAUAUAGUCCAUCCAAGUGGGCAAGGCAUGGAAAUGGCUUAAAAUGGGCAAAUGGUGGACUAGGCCACAUGGAGAUAUUCUUUGGUCCUUGUCUGAUCCUCUUCACUCAUCUUCCUGAUUGCUGGAAUGGCAGGCAUGCACCACCAUGCCAGGCUGGCAAUCUGUCUAUCUAUCUAUUUAUUUAUUUAUGGGUUUCAUGGUGUGGCCCUGCCUGGCCUGGAACUUACUAUAUAGACCGGCUGGCUUUCAGAUCACACUGUGGCACAUGUGUAUUCCACACAUAUACAAAUAAAUACAAAAGUAUAAUUUUUUUCUCUUUAAUCCUAGUAUUUGGGAGGUAUAGGUAGAUAGAACUCAGUGGAUUCAAGGCCAGCCUGGUGUACAUAGCAAGUUCCACCUAGCCAAGGUUACCUAGAGACUCUGUCUCAAAAAGAAAAGAAGAUAAACAACCAGG